AGCGCCACCGGGUCGACCGCCCGGGUGACGGUCAGGUAGUCACGGAUCGCCGUCCCGUGCCGACCCUC
rnacentral:sRNA from 1 species